CCUCUGCCAGGUUGCUGACUUGCAGGAAGUCYAGGUGCCAGAUUUUUCUCAAAUAGAUUCCUGAGUCCUUGCAGAGCAAGCCACCUGUCUGCAGCCCUAAUUCCAAUGACAUGAAUGACUGCAGAAACUAGAGGGGAAUGUUUUCUUCUGUAUGUCUGCCCAGUGCUAUGGGGAACUGGAGAGAUGGUAUAUGGUGGACUACUUCAUUGUUGCUAGAAGCUAAUUUAACUGUUAAUGUAAAGUUUGUUCUGAACAUAAUUACAUAUUGGCAAGUACAAAUUCCUUCUAAUUGUAUUUCAUGAGACUACUUAAUCUUCACAAGGACACUGAGUCUGUUCAAUGUCAUUAGCAGUGACUCAUCAUGAGGAAUAAAAUAAAACUGCAUUUCUGGUGGUGUCUGAGGAAGUAAAUAGGUCUUGAAAGGUACACAGUUAAAAUCAAUCUCUUUUUCUGGGCACUUGAAAAAAAGAUUAUUUCACUUUGACACCAUAUAUGGAAAUAAUUUAUGAUAAAGCUUAUUUUUGUUUUGAUAUUAGAACAGUAGGCAUAUUCCUAUAGUACUUAAUUGCUUUUCC